UUCAGUAGAAUUUUAAAAAAAAUGAAAUUCAUAGUUUAAUGAAUUCCUUAGUUAAAUUGUAAACUUUCAAGUAAAAUCUGUUAUCCUAAAUGAUAUAUUGUAGUUUGGUUCAAGAGCAUAUGUCAAAAGAAAAUUCUAAUAACACAAAAUUAAGAACAAAUUAAAAAAAUCAAAUGCAACAAAAUGACCUUGCUCAAAAACACAUAAGAGAUUUAAUUGAGAGUGAGAUUGUAAAAAAUUAAAUUUCAUUUGAUUUGAUUAAAAAAUUGAGAUUUCACAUUGUUAUCUCUCACGAUAAAAGUGUAGAUUCUAGUUCUAAUACAAUG
rnacentral:lncRNA from 1 species